rnacentral:rRNA from 1 species
UCCUACGGGAGGCAGCAGUGGGGAAUAUUGGACAAUGGGCGCAAGCCUGAUCCAGCAAUGCCGCGUGAGUGAUGAAGGCCUUAGGGUUGUAAAGCUCUUUCGGCGGGGACGAUGAUGACGGUACCCGCAGAAGAAGCCCCGGCUAACUCCGUGCCAGCAGCCGCGGUA